GACGAGCGCUGGCGGCGCGCCUAACACAUGCAAGUCGAACGGAGUUAUUUCUGAAUGAAGUUUUCGGUAUGGAUUUUUGGUAUUAAACUUUAAGUUGGCGAACGGGUGAGUAAACGCGUGAGUAACCUGCCCUGGAGUGGGGGACGAACAGUUGGAAACGACUGCUAAUACCGCAUAAGCCCACGGUGCCGCAUGGCACAGCGGGAAAGGAUUUAUUCGCUUCAGGAUGGACUCGCGUCCAAUUAGCUAGUUGGUUGGAGGUAACG
rnacentral:rRNA from 1 species